CUCCUGCAGGCGAGAGCUGACUGCCGGGCGCAGGUGGGUUGCCUGGCUCCACGCUGCGACCGGCAGGGCGAGUGGCCGAGUUCCGCGGACGGAACCGGGAGGAUGUGAGACCUGUCUUUGAAGUCUGCUCGCGCUUCCCCAAUGAACAGAGUGCAAAACAGCUGAAGAAGGAUCCUCAUUACUCAAAAGAUACGUUGACACACCUCUGGGCUUUGAGCCUGUGAGAAGGGCCCAGCUCUCUGCCACUUAAAGUAGCAACAUGGUUGAUGACAUUCUUCUUUGGCCCGCUCCCUGUGAGAGAACACAAACCACUCCAAGAUGAGCUGGAAUGCAGCCUUCAUCAUAGGACGAUGUGUAGACUUUUUCUUGGACCCUUCCCUGGAAGAUGAGAUGAUACUGUUAGAAACCACCACAGGGUGGUUGCAUGUGAGGAAGGUAAGCCUACUAACAAGGUUUUAAGGUAGAGUCCAAAGUAGUUUGACAAAGAUGAAACAAAGAGCAGAAAGUAAUUUUUGAGGAGAAUUUCUUUAUAAUUCAUAUUUCUCUGACUUUCUGUUAGACAGUAUCUUAAGCAAAUGUGUGCCAG
rnacentral:lncRNA from 9 species